GAUGAACGCUGGCGGCGUGCCUAAUACAUGCAAGUCGAGCGAACAGACGAGGAGCUUGCUCCUCUGACGUUAGCGGCGGACGGGUGAGUAACACGUGGAUAACCUACCUAUAAGACUGGGAUAACUUCGGGAAACCGGAGCUAAUACCGGAUAAUAUAUUGAACCGCAUGGUUCAAUAGUGAAAGACGGUUUUGCUGUCACUUAUAGAUGGAUCCGCGCCGCAUUAGCUAGUUGGUAAGGUAACGGCUUACCAAGGCAACGAUGCGUAGCCGACCUGAGAGGAUGAUCAGCCACACUGGAACUGAGACACGGUCCAGACUCCUACGGGAGGCAGCAGUAGGGAAUCUUCCGCAAUGGGCGAAAGCCUGACGGAGCAACGCCGCGUGAGUGAUGAAGGUCUUCGGAUCGUAAAGCUCUGUUAGUAGGGAAGAACAACUGUGUAAGUAACUAUGCACGUCUUGACGGUACCUAAUCAGAAAGCCACGGCUAACUACGUG
rnacentral:rRNA from 1 species